UACGAAGGGGGCUAGCGUUGCUCGGAAUUACUGGGCGUAAAGCGCACGUAGGCGGUCUUUUAAGUCAGGGGUGAAAUCCUGGAGCUCAACUCCAGAACUGCCUUUGAUACUGAGAGCUUGAGUCCGGGAGAGGUGAGUGGAACUGCGAGUGUAGAGGUGAAAUUCGUAGAUAUUCGCAAGAACACCAGUGGCGAAGGCGGCUCACUGGCCCGGUACUGACGCUGAGGUGCGAAAGCGUGGGGAGCAAACGGG
rnacentral:rRNA from 1 species